rnacentral:rRNA from 1 species
AGUGAACGCUGGCGGUAGGCCUAACACAUGCAAGUCGAACGGCAGCACAGUAAGAGCUUGCUCUUACGGGUGGCGAGUGGCGGACGGGUGAGGAAUACAUCGGAAUCUACUUUUUCGUGGGGGAUAACGUAGGGAAACUUACGCUAAUACAGCAUACGACCUACGGGUGAAAGCAGGGGAUCUUCGGACCUUGCGCGAUUGAAUGAGCCGAUGUCGGAUUAGCUAGUUGGCGGGGUAAAGGCCCACCAAGGCGACGAUCCGUAGCUGGUCUGAGAGGAUGAUCAGCCACACUGGAACUGAGACACGGUCCAGACUCCUACGGGAGGCAGCAGUGGGGAACAUUGGACAAUGGGCGCAAGCCUGAUCCAGCCAUACCGCGUGGGUGAAGAAGGCCUUCGGGUUGUAAAGCCCUUUUGUUGGGAAAGAAAAGCAGCAGGUUAAUACCCCGCUGUUCUGACGGUACCCAAAGAAUAAGCACCGGCUAACUUCGUG